rnacentral:lncRNA from 1 species
GGAUGAGCGGUUCUCGCCGCUCGCGCGCAGAUGCACUCGCGCUAGGCUCGCCGCUAACCCGAAGGGAGGGAACCCUGGUGGUUUCUGAUGUUCCGUCCAUUUUAGUCCCAGAGGAUCUGUGGACGUCGAGGAGUCCAAGGAGGAAGGAAGAAGACUCUGGCAGACACACCAGGCCUAGCUCCAGACCCCUCUAGGCCAGCACCUGCCUUUGGCCAGAUUAUGAAGGUAAUCAGGCUGCCUACAGGAGCCCAGGCCUCUCUGUCUGGGCUUUCCCUCCAUGGGCAUGUCCUCUCCCCUCUCACCUGAAACCCUUUCCCUUGAAUGAUUCUGAUUGUGGGUCGUCCUGCUGAGGACAGAGUUCUCUCCAGAUGAGCUUCCUCUUCCCUGGGGCUUUGUACUUUGUGCUGGGCUGUCUCGAUGAGGGUGAAAGACUCUGUGUCCUGAGAAAGGAACACUCAGCAGCAGCUGGUGAUCUGGUGAUGGCAGACUCUCUCUAGAGAGGACCCAUGAGUCCCUUGGGGAGAGCCUGGCUGGCUUUGGAGACAAGUCAUGGAUAACUUUUAUUUAUUUGCUCGCUUGUUGGUUUGUUUGAGGUAUAGUUGAUUUACAACACUGUGUCAGUUUCAGGUGUAGAGCAUAGUGAUUCAGUAUUUUUAUAGCUUAUAUUCUGUUAUAGAUUAUUAUAAGAUAAUGGAUAUAACUCCCUGUGCUAUAUAAUAUAUCCUUGUUGCUUAUCUAUUUCAUGUAUAGUAAGCAACAAAUAUUCCUAAUUUGUCCUGCCCCUCUACCCUCUCCCCUUUGGUAACCACAGAUUUGUUUUCUAUGUCUGCGAGACUCUUUCUGUUUUGUAUAUAGAUUCAUUUCUAUUACUUCUUAAAUUCCACAUAUAAGCGAUAUCAUAUAGUCCUUGGCUUUCUCUUACUUCACUGAUCACAAUAUUUUCUAGAUCCAUUGUUGUGAAUAGCUUUGAAUUGCUUCUGACCAGCAGACCGAGGCCCACCCUUCAGGUGACAGCACAGUUUUGCCUUAGUAAUUGACUCAUCUUUCAUUUGAUACAGUUUUGGUGGGACUGUCCAUCGAGGGACCCUGUCAUUCCUGGCCAGAUGGACCAUGUCACCCAAAUUAGGCAAAUUGGAUACUCUGUCCUAGGAAGUUAAAUUUUUUGAGGAGGUGAUACAAAACCAGAAAAUGUUUGGGGCCAAUUCGUCCUAGUUCUGGUCAUUACCCCCUGGUGUCUGCUUCCCAGAUUCCUGGAACUGCCCUGCUGCUCAUCCUUCUGGCUUCAGCUUUUCCUGGAGUUCUCUGUUUCCUCAUGUCUUCCUAUAAAGUCCUUUCUGGGUAAGUUACACAGAUCCAGUUUCUAUUGCUUACCGUCUAAGACCCUGGGCUAAUGUGGCACCAAUGUCACUUAGGUCUUUCAAGCCCCAUUGCCUCCCCUAGCAAUGGUUAAGGCCUCUCCAUGUGUGUGCAUAUGUGGGGUCCUGCUGUAUUUUAUUUAUGCUGUGGAUGGAAUGUGGGCAGUGGUCGAAGGAGGCCAGCCAGGUUGGGUGUUAGGAGCUAAGCGAGAUGGUGGAGUCAGCCAGAUUCAUCUCCUAGGUCCUUAACCAGACUGUCAGAUUGGACUUGCACAGCCAUGGGAGGAGGCUCAUGGCAGAUCCAGGAAGCGCAUGAGGCCACAGGCUGAAUACACUGUAUCUUGUCAAAGUGCCAAUGUGAAGAUUUUACGGGCAUAGGGAGACAUCGUAGAGUUUUGUUGUUGUUGUUGUUUUUAGUUUUAAAGAAAAAAUAUAUAUGUAUUGGGCAUAGGAAUAAAAUCUGCAGGAAUUUUUAUGAGAACAAGAGUGUGUUCUAAGAAAUUUCCUGCUGGCAGAGAGCCAAUUCCAUAUGCGUAUCUAAACCUCUUGGCAGUACAUGUUCUUCUCUGCUGCUAUAAAGGGUUCUUUGGUGGAAAUUUAGAGAAACACAGACUAAAGGUGUUGGGAGCUUUGAUUCAACUACACAGACUGUUCUAAUCCAGGUCCCCUCCUCUGUCUAACCCUCAAAUUCCUUUCAGGGUUAAGCUAGAAGUGGAGGCCUCACUGAGGCCUGUUAUCCCUGACAUCUUUCCCAGACUCUAAUUACUGCUGCCUUCUUAAAAAUGGUCAAGCAUGUUAAAAGUCCUUCACCAGGGAAAGACAGCCUCAUCUUCCUCAGGUAAAUGCAAAAAGCUUAAAAUCAGAGUGAUGGGUCUUAUAAUGGAGAAAGAAAUCAAUAAAGAAGGCCCAAAUCUCUCUUGCGCCUAAGAUGCUAAAUAUAUGGAUUCCUAUUACAUUCUAGGCAUUUCCCACACUUAAUCUUUACCUCCAUAAAGCAAAGAUGGUGUUAUUCUCAGGCUAUCGAUGAAGAUACUAGAGCUCAGUGAGGUUGGGUCAGUAACCCAAAGCCACACAGCUAAUAGGCCAUUUUUCUGAAAUACAUUUUUUUUCAUCCCUCUCCCCUUUUGAGAGUGUACUAAUUAAAUCUGCAAAACUUCAGCCCGGAUGGGCUUAUUGUCUGUUGCCUUCCUCGUAAGAGGUAGGAUGUGUCCUUACCCAAAGGACCCUGGCUUCCUGGGGCUGGGGUACUGGAGAGUGGCCCAGAGAGGAGGAGGGCGCCGGAGGCAGUUCCUCCCAUGACCCUGUAUGGCAGAGGGGAAGAUCAUGGGCUUUGUGAACAAACAGAGCUGAGUCUGAGACUCCACUCUCCUACUUAUCAUAAGAGGGACAGGCUGAGGGUACAGAGCCAGAGAAACCCAUCACCACCAGCCCACCACAGACUCCCUAGGUCACAGUUGGGUUCAAAAUCCACCCUGUUCCUAGUGUCUCUGCCAAAAAAGAACAGUGGCUGCUGCAACUCCCACAACAUCUGACCAAGUGUCCUGCAGAAUGUUACCGAUUCCAGAGAAACUGAUGGCAAAGUGGCUGUGCAUGGGGCUGACGGCCCAGCCCUGGCAGAAUCUGCUCUUGUGACCUCAUCCUGACCUGAACCGUCCUCCCUGCAGGUGCUCCGGCCCCUUCCCUGACCUUGCUGGCUGAGGGUCCAGGACCAGUCCAGGGCAGAGCUACAGGGCAACUGUCCUUGACUCCUGGGCUGGAGUCCAAGGGGCUGACCGCUUCUUGCCGAGGUCCCUUUGGUGUCAAGGGUUUUGUCUCCCACCCCAGCUUUCCCAGAACAUCCUGUGCAGCAGGGGCUGAUAACACUGUGCUCAGGGCCCUGGGGCAGACGGUCCCAUGUAGCUAGGCCCUGAACUCUCUGACCCGAGCAUGGGACUCUGGCAGCUGGGGAUCUGGGAUCAUGAUACCCUUUGCACGGAGGAGUGAGAGUCAGCUACUUUAUUGCCAAGUUGAAAGAAUUUUUAAACUUCCUUUCCAUUGUAUGUUUCUUUUAAGGAAGAAAUUCCAUUAUACAUUGUUACACUGACCAUUUUUAUGCCCUGCAGAAUCUCAAUGGGGACAUUUCUGUCCCUCCAGGAACCACUAGGAUUUCCAUUGCUGGAUGGCAGGGGCCCUGUCAUAGAGGCGUGGAUACUUUGCCUGGAAAGGCCUUAGAAAUGAUGUGGUCCAGCCCAGAAAGGAGAGAGUUUUUUCAAGAAGCCUUGGCCUGAGGGACCUGAGAUAAUGCAAUGCCCCACAUAGAAAGGGGAGCUGGGUCUGUUUCUCAGCACUGCAGGUGCACCCCCAGCACAAGGCUUUUGCCCCUAGUUGGUUCUCAAAAAAAAAAAA